rnacentral:rRNA from 1 species
UACGGGGGGAGCAAGCGUUGUUCGGAAUUACUGGGCGUAAAGGGCGCGUAGGCGGUUGGAUAAGUAGGUGGUGAAAGCCCCGGGCUUAACUUGGGGACUGCCAUCUAAACUAUCCGGCUAGAGUGUGGGAGAGGAGAGCGGAAUUCCUGGUGUAGCGGUGAAAUGCGUAGAUAUCAGGAGGAACACCCGUGGCGAAGGCGGUUCUCUGGACCACAACUGACGCUGAGGCGCGAAAGCUAGGGGAG